UACGGAGGGUGCAAGCGUUAUCCGGAUUUACUGGGUUUAAAGGGUGUGUAGGCGGGCUAUUAAGUCAGUGGUGAAAUCUCCGGGCUCAACCCGGAAACUGCCACUGAUACUAUUAGUCUUGAAUUUUGUUGAGGUAGGCGGAAUAAGUCAUGUAGCGGUGAAAUGCAUAGAUAUGACUUAGAACACCAAUUGCGAAGGCAGCUUACUAAGCAAAUAUUGACGCUGAGGCACGAAAGCGUGGGGAUCAAACAGG
rnacentral:rRNA from 1 species